UCAUUGCCUGAGUGUUUGUGGAAAUGGUCAGGGGGUCCAUGCCCAUCCUAGUAGUAGAACUAUCCUUCUGGAAAUUGUCCAGGGUGGAAGGUUAGGUGUUGUACUUUGGGCCUCAAUGCUCUACUUUGCUUGAAAGGUAGGCAGCAUAUAUGCCCUGGAACCAUUCUCCUUGCCAGUAUGGUGCAGCUAUUGGGGUACUUUAGAGGUCAGUUCCUGCCUGAAACAUUGAUUUGUCUCCCUAGAUCACUCAGUUUGCAGUCAAAUGUUCAUAAAAUCCUCAGCUGGUGAGAUCAGAAGGUUUGUGACGCUGGAGCUUUCCAAAUAACAGUUUGCUGGGUAGGCAAAAGCGUCAGUGCUCUUACGAAAGAGCAAAAGAGGGUGGGGUGUAUCUGGCGAAUACACACCCGGCAAAAGAUCAAGGGAAGCUCUUCAGUGGUUGAGAAACCCAAGCUGACCCUUGUUCCACUGCUAAACUAGCUUCUCUUCCAGACAGGCUGAUGUAACUCUUCCUAAACUCCAGAGCUGACAUAAGAAAUAAAAGAACAAAAGCUCAUGAGUAUUACAGUAAUUAACCUUUUCACUAAGCUAAUGCUAUAGAAUAAGCUAAUGCUAUAGAAUAAAAUGAGAAAAAGGGCCCUGGGCUAAACAUUAAUUUGAUAGCCUAAAUCAGGGAUGUCAAACUUGAUUUCAUUGAGGGCCCUAUCAGGGUUGUGUUUGACAUUGAGGGGCGUGGGAGGCAUGGACAGGGGGGCGUGGACAGCUCGACGACCGUUUUUGGCUGCAACAGGCCCUCCUGAGCUCUGUUUUCACUGGCAGAGGCACUGCAGGCCGGUCCUUCACUGUUUCCAGGGCAGCCCAGCAGGCCAGAUCUAAGCACCCUGGAGGCCGGAUGCAGCCCACGGGCCUUGAGUUUGACACCCCAGGCCUAAAUACUCUCAGUCCCUAACUGAAGAUCGCAUGGGCUCCUCAGACAUCCAUAGAUGGAGAACGUAUCUCAGAUCCAAAUAUCAGCAAAAUGAGGAUCUCUGCUUCCACAAUACAUACAGAAGUGAACACUUCAUAUAUCAAAUCAUAGCACUGAAAAUAAUUUAGACCAGAGAGUUCAACCCCCUGUUCAAAUUCAAGCAUCUCGAACAGAAGAACUCUGUAACUUGUCCUUAAACACAUCCUAUGACAUCAACAAUCUCCCGCUGGUGGUUCCAUUAGCAGAAGCUUUUCCCUUGUCAGGAAAAUACUCCAAGGAUAUUUCUGAAAUACAUAUAGAUACCUCAAUGGCUAGCAUGGCUAUUAGGAGAGGCAUGUAGAAAAGGGGUGUCAAACUCAAGGCCUGUGGGCCGGAUUCGGCCCACGAUGUGGUAGGAUCCGCUCCAUGGGGCGUCCUGCUCUACCCAGUGUGAAGAGGAAAGAUUAGCCCAACAUAGCUUCAGCCCCAUCUACCCAAUGGGAAGAGAAAACAUGCCAGCAGUUUGGGAAGUGGAAUCAAGCUGACCACGCCCACCCGGUUGGCCACCCCACCCAGCCCCCCUGAAGUCAACCACAGCCCUGAUGUGGCCCUUAAUGAAAUUGAGUUUGACACCCCUGAUGUAGAAGAUUGGAGUAAUCCAGAGUGAAAGUCCAUCAUCAACCAUGAAAGCUCAUUGGGUGAAUCUCAAUCCAAUCAAAACAGGAUCAUUACGGUAAGGAAACAUUGGAAGGGCGAUCUUCUGAAAUCCUGGAAGAAUGGCAGAAUGUAAAUCUAGUGAAAAUUAUUAUUAUUUGCUCCAUACUGAGUUAUGGAUGACAACGUGGUUUAUGGUUGCAGAUCAGCAAAUGAGAGGCACAGGGCUUCUUUCAUCCUGAAGUCUGCUUGCAUUUGAAAUCUCACAUUCAGCAGACAACCCAAAAGAGAAGGCAACGUGCAUUUCCAGCCUUUGCAGACAUCCAUAAUGAGGUCCUGAAGCAACUCAGAUUAAAAUUUAUGAACUAGUUAUGACAUGUCAUUGAUGUUCCUCUUUCCUUUUUAAGCUCUAAUAAGAGUGUCAGAGAAGGAACAUCUGCCGAAAAUUAAGAGCUGCAGUACUGGAAAUGGAGCUAAUGCAUUUAUCAAGUAGUAUAUGAUGAGCUAUUUUUGAAGUCUGGACAAAAGUUAAGCAACGGAACUAUAUGGAAAUUCCAGCCUGGCUCUCUACGUUAGAGGUUACCAAAUCUGAUGAAGACAGGAUGCAAAGAUGGGAAAUGCAGAAGGCAAACAAUCUUAGAAACAACAAAUGAAGGAAAGAGAUGGCUGAAGGCGGAAGUGGGUCGCUUCAAACCUUACAGUUACGUGCAACCUUUAGCCUCUGUUUAGACUUCUAACAAGAACAAUCUGUUCCACUGUUCAACAACCAAGGGGAAAGAAGUUGGCUUAAACAAGAGAGAAAGAAGAAUAUGCCAAAAAGAGGAAAAUGGGUGGCCUUAUCCCCUUUUGGCUGUGGCCCUAAUACUACCGCUUUUGCCCUAUCUGCUAUAUGAUAUGGCCCUUUAAUCCUGCAGCCCUGGAUAACAAAUGAUGCUCACCAAUUAGGGGCAAGGUUAAUGAUUCCCUCCAUUUGGCUGCAAAGGAUUUCAGAGAUAACUCAGUUGUUCAAAACACUGGUCAUAUAUAAGAAUAAGGAUUCGUGGAUAUCUAUUAACCUUUACAAUUAACUUUCCAGGAAUUAGGGAACUAAUUCCUAGAGGAGAUCAACCCUGACUGCUCUUUAGAAGGCCAGAUCCUGAAGAUGAAACUGAAAUACUUUCGGCCACCUAAUGAGAAGGAAGAAUUCACUGAAGAAGAGCCUAAUGCUGGGAAAGAUUGAGGGUAAAAGAAGAAGAGGACGACAGAGAAUGGGGUGGCUGGAUGGAGUCACUGAAGCAGUAGGCAUGAGCUUAAAUGGACUCCAGAGGAUGGCAGAGGAGAGGAAGGCCUGGAGGAACGUUGUCCAUGGGGUCGCGAUGAAUUGGACAAGACUUCGCAACUAACAACAACAGAGCAGUUUUGGCUGGUUUUAAGUCAGGCACAUAUUGCUCCAGUUUUCCCAUUUCUAAUGCCCUGCAAGUUUGAGAGACUAACUCCCAUUGUCUAUGCUUCUCAUGCUAAUGGGAAUUAUAGCUUAAAUCUUAGGGCUAAAAAAGCUGAAGACGUUUGGGUUUGGUAUAUGUUUUCCAUUCUACCCAGUGAAGAGUAUAAGACUUUGAUCUAUUUAACACAAGAAUAAAAAUAGAAUACUUAUUGUAAUUAUUGAAUUUCUAUGGUUCUGGGAAAAAUGAUAUUGAAAGGGUUAAUCUCAGACCAUGAUACACUUCUCUAAUCCAUAGCACUUCAUUCUCUAGGUUCUGGACUCUCAGAAUUUGACUGCCCAUGAGACUGCCUUUGUGAUCCUAAAAAAGAGAAAUAAGAUGCCUAGAAAUUGAAGUUGUUUGAGGAGUUGGCAUAGAAGGUUGGCAUAGUCGGUGUCAUAAGAAUUCUUUGGAACAAUACCAGGAACAUCAAAUUUUCUGGAAAGAACAGAUUAUGUGAAAAUAAUAUAUGAACAAUAAAUUUUAAGUCUAGCACUGUAGGACUGGGAUUUUAAGAUCAAUAUUUCACUCAGCAGAAUAAGAGUAACAUAGCAGAACUUAUUCCAUUUGAAAGAAAAGGGAACAAAUCAUCACACAGUAAGAUAUUUAAGAAGUAAUAAUAUAUAUAGGGGCAUGAUGGUUCAACAGUUAAGAAGCUGGGCUUGUUAGCUGGAAAGCUGACAGCUCAGAUUCAAGGCAUGAGUGCUGUGUAACAAGGUGAGCUCCCAUUACUUGCCCCAGCUCCUGCCCACCUAGCAGUUCGAAAGCACGCAAAUGCGAGUAGAUAAAUAGGUACCACUUCAGUGGGAAGAUAAUAGUAUUCCAUAACCAUGGAAGCAUCUUCGAACAACACUGGCUCCCUUGGAUAAGAAAUGAAGAUAAGCACCACUCCCUAGAAUCAGACAUAACUGGACAGAAGAAACCUUUACCUUUACUUUAAUAUACAUUAGUAUACACAGAUACUACUGGCUUUGAAGAUCUUUAAAUUCAGAAUCUGAAUUUAAGUGUAUUGGCACUUUUUCCCUCUCAGGGCAAGCCACACCUAUGGAAUAUCUGCCUGUUAAUGACACAAUAUACAAUGACUUGUCUGUACUUUCUAUAUUAUAUGCUUCAUUUAAUAUGUUCACAAAUAGUUCUUAUUGUUUUUAUUUAAGAAGGGAAAAAAGCCAUUCACAGAAUUUAAUUUUCCCUAUAGAGGAAAACUGGGAGAGAAUAGUACACACUAAAGAUCUUAUGAAAUACAAUGCAACAGAAAAAGGGCACCAUCAGUUCAAGUCAGUGAUGAAUGUCUUGAGACUUGAACUAUGUGGCCUUCAAAAGUCCCUUUGCAACCAGUCUUCAAAGCAGGGUUGAAAUCUAAAAAUUUUCCCUACCGGUUCUGUGGGCGUGGCUUAAUCGGUGGGCGUGGCUUGGUGGUCAGAUGACUGGGUGGGCGUGGCCAAUAACAAUAAAUAAUAAAAAUAAUAAACAAAGUAUACAAAACAAUAAGAGGUACCAAAAACCAACUUUCACACUUUACACACAUACAACACAACACAACUGACUCACACACAAUGUAAAAGCAGCUGCACUUCACCCAAAAUGGCCCCUGCAACAAGCAGGAACCUCACACUUUCACACUUUACACACACACAACACAACUGACUCACACACACACAAAAUGUCACAUACAGCUUUAGGUUUGUGGACUUCAAAUCCCAGAGUUCCUCAUUCAGCAAAGCAGGAAGUCAAAGCAGGCUGUAAUCAGUAGCUGAAGUUAGCAUUACAUUGCCAGUCUGAAAGGAGCAGCAUACAGUAAUUAUAGGUAAGUGAGGAGUGGGAAUUGGGUGGACAUGGGUGGGGGCUCUUGUAAGUGGGGGCUUUUAAAAAGUGAUUUUAAAAGCCUGCUAGGAUCAGGAAACUCCUCUGGGAUCGCCAGAGGAAAAAAAGUUUUAAAGUCAGCUCCUGUGACGAUCUCAGCUGAAGUUCCCUCGUAGCAGCCCAGAACCUCUUAAAAUACUUGUUUUAACAUGUAGAAAAUAUGUUUUUUAAGGUUCUGGUGAUGAGGAACUCAGCUGGGAUGGCCAGAGGAGCCUUUUAAAGCCCCCCCUCCUUUUCCUUUUUUUCCCCUUCAGCUGAAGAGGUUUUUUUAAAAAAAAACUUUUAAAGUGUUCUGAUGAUCUCUGCUCAGCCCCGCGAUCAUCAGAGGGUGGUUGUUUUUUUAACUUUUAAAGGCAUGUUUUUGACUGAAGAAAAACUUUUAAAAGUAAAAAAAAAACUGCUGAUAGUGCGGCUCAGCAGGGGAAGGGGGGUGGGGCCAGGGAUUUUUGCUACCGGUCCUCCGAACCAGCAGCUGCCAUCGCUACCUAAUCGGGGGAGCCAGUGUGAACCGGGAGCCUUUCACCCCUGCUUCAAAGUUUUCUAACUCUUAACUUUUGCGCUUGACUCCUGGUUCCUAAAUGGACACAUGGAAUUCUCUAGUAAUCUGCCUUCCAAAUAUUAACCAGUCCCAACCCUGUUUAGCUUCUAAACUAAACUUUGCUGGAGCAAAGUCAGGACAGGCGUUACCCCUUGUUGAAAUCCUUUCUGAUUGUAAUGAUAAAGAAAUGAAACAUGGUUUCCUGGCAUUUAUAAAGUUGGAUAGCCAUCAGGUUUAGCUCAUAAAAUCAUCCGUUGUAAUGUCCUUCCUGUCAAUGACUUCUUCAGUUUCAAUAACAAUAACACAAGAGCUACCAACAGAUUUAAACUCAAUGUCAACCGCUCCAGUUUAGAUUGCAGAAAACACGAUUUCUGUAACAGAAUUAUAUAUGCUUGGAAUGCAUUACCUGACUCUGUGAUCUCUUCUCAUAACCCCAAAAGCUUUACUCAAAAUCUAUCCACGGUUGACCUCACCACAUUCCUAAGAGGACUCUAAGGGGCGUGCAUAAGAACACAAACGUGCCUACCGUUCCUGUCCUAUUGUUUCUUCCCCUAUAUAUAUAUAUAUGUUUAUAUUACCUUGUUUCUCCUCAUAUAUAUGUUUAUAUAUUAUAUAAUCCUUUAUGUAAUGCUUGUAUAUAUUGUUACGACAAAUAAAUAAAUAAAAUAAAUAAAACUAUAAAGGAAACUGUAAAAUAAGCCAAGCAUAAUUUUUAAAAUCAAAGAAAAUCUCCAAAACUCUCUUCCAAAAAGCCUGACCCCAUCCACUGUUCCACCCAAGGUUGACCAUUUAACAACUAACUUCUCCUGGUUUAAUCAGUAUUUUUAGUAAUAAGUGGAGAAGAGACUCUGAGUCCAUUCGAUCAGACAGUAUCAGCAUUCAGAAUUUUGCCUAGCUAGGCUACAUGGAUAUGAAAAGGUUCCCCUUUGAAAGGAAUGAAGAGGAAAAAAUAAAGGUAAGUAGAAAAAUUGUUCUUACUGUGCUGCAAUAGGCCAAGGGCAUUUUCAAAUGGGUCUCUUGUGACCCAGAAGAAGUCAAAGCUUAUGUCUGGGAUGAUCAAAUUUAAUACAGAGAUCUCUGCCUACAAGGCGUGCCGCCAGGGGUAUUACACAAAGGGCUUUGAAACGAAAUGUCAGAAACUAUUAGGAGAGAAAUCCAGGCUAGUGCAGGGUGAUCGAAGCAAGAAGAAAACUGACAGGGCCCUUACUAAAGAAAGGUGAACAUUGUACUUUGAAGGUUUGCUGUGGAUGUUAGAUAGCCUUGACCCCAGCAUAUCCCACUCAUUCACAAAAAGCCUAUAGGGUCCAACAAGCAAGUUGGAGUCUGAUUUCAAUCCACCCUUGUUUCUCUUUUGUGAACUUCCUGAAGCUUCAUGUCUCUAUAAAUAACUGAACUUGUAAAUUUUUUUAAAAUCUGAAUCAAAUUCAUACAUUUCUACAUUUAUUGGUAUUUCUUCUUUUCAGGAAAUUUUAGGACAGCCCCUAGCAUAGUAUAACGUAACAUAAAACAUGACAAACAAUAACAUGACAUCUUAUAUAACGUAAUAUAUAACAUAGCAUAGCACGUAACAUUAUUCUGCACCAGAUAAGAUUCAGUUUGCAUGUUUGAAAGGAUUCCCUUCUAAUAAUGUACUCGGGUAUAGACUUGAGUCUGACAUCAGAAAUAUUUUUCCUUUCUUCUUCCUUUUUUUAGCCAGCAACAAAGAUUAGUUGAAAUUCUAAAGCUUGCAUUCCACAACA